rnacentral:tRNA from 1 species
CCUAUAGCUCAGUUGGUAGAGCAUGCCACUUGCAAUGCCAGGGUUGUGGGAUUGAUUCCCACUGGG